rnacentral:sRNA from 1 species
AGGUUUCUCACCCUGAAUUGAUGGAACUGUUAAGAAGAAAAGUAAAGUUCAAUCUUCCCUAUGCUGGUGUUUUCUUAAAGAAGGAUGAUACAAAUGAAUCAGAUGUUGUAGAUCGUCUUGAUGACAUCUACAGUGUUGGUACUUUUGUACACAUCACUGAGAUGCAUGACCUUGGGGAUAGGCUGAGAAUGAUAGUGAUGGCUCACCGAAG